rnacentral:lncRNA from 1 species
AUGGAGGGAGAAUGCACAAGAGCAGAUUUAAAGGAGAACUUUCUACUGAGUAUAUAGAUUAUAGGCAAUACAUCACUCUUGGAAGCAAUGAGAGAUGAGAAAAUGUGCCAACUAGGGAGAGUAUAUGAAGAAGAUUUUAACCUCAAAAUAUGAAUAUCUCUUUGAGGUUACCAAAUAUGGAAGAAACAUAUUUGACAAUACUCCUAGCUUGGAGAAUAUGUGGUUGGAGUUGUAAUAUGAUGAAGCAGUAUAUUGUAAUUUUUUCUUUUGUCCUCAUACUUAAAGAAAUGUUUCCAUAGUUAAAUUCCCAUUUCAGCUAUAGGAAGAAAAUAACUUUUAUCCGGAUGUAAUUUUGCUAAAUGUUAAUUUUUAAACACCAAGUUUCAGUUCUAUAUUUUUCUUGCUUCAUUUUUACAACAUCCUGCCAAACAAGUUUUCUUAUAGCAUUUCUCGCCUUGUCUUGAUUUUAAAACUUAUUAUUACCACUAUAACAUUUUUCAAAAAAAGUUAUGACUAUAAUAAGGUUCUUUAUAAAAUACACUUGUUAAUGCUCAGACUUUCCAAGAUCAUAUGAGAGACUAUUAGAUUUCAUGAGAUCCAUGUUAUUGUAAAUAGAAUUUAGGUUCUGUGAUAAGCAGAGAGCUAUAAUUAGCAAUGCAAUAACUCUUAUUUAAGACCAAGAAUCUGAAUUUUAUGAGAGGUACUUUGUUUUUUAGAAAAGAUUUAAUUACAUUUCACUUUCAUGUUGCUUUCCAGAAUAGUAGCAUGCAGUCUGGCCUUGUAACACAUUUUUUUAAUUGAAAAUCAUUUGAAUUAUAAUAAAAUUAGCUGAUUCUCUCUCUCUUUCCUUCUACUUAACCUUCCCAUAUGUACCUCCUUAUUCUUUCAUAUGCAUGACUUUCUUUUUUAUUAAUUGUUGUUAUAUAAAUACAAACUGUUUAAUCUACAUGGUGUUACAUGUAUAUGUUUUUGAGGAUGGGUAGAUGAUUAUUUAGAACAGGAGAGUAAUAUUCUUCUCUGGGAAGACUAUGUCUCUUGUUCUCAGCAUUCAUUAGUUGCUUGUAGUUCUUGGUGUAAAAUCGAGUCUUUUGAGCCUUCUCUCAUCCAGUUUCAAGGGCCUAAUUUUUACCUCCUUGCUCAGCUCGUGUUUAGGAAGCCAUGCUAGUGAGAAUCUAUGUGUAUAGCUUCUGAAAUCCAUAGGCAACACAAUCUCACAGUCAACUUGCUCUGGAUCUGAUGAUAUUUGUUCCCCUUCUUUCACAAGGAUGCAUGUAUCCUAGGUUCCAAAAGUGUAUUAUAGAUGUGUCAGUUGCAACUCAGCUCCACGACUCUGAACUACUCCAUAAUGAAAGUCAGGUCACUUUUGCUGGAGACAUCAUGUAUUUUAUACAAAGAACCCAGAGACCUCUAAACUUGAACUGAAAUGAAACCCUCCAACCCUAAGAUCCAGCUUUUAUAGCACUAUACAAGCUUCUCAAGGAGUAAAGCAGCCAAUAGUCCUAUCCCAUUGUGAUACCUAAGAACCAUAGCCAUGAUUAGUGUACUACAUGUAUCCUAAGGCUAUUGUAGUGGCACACAUACAUAACUUGGUGGUAACUAACAGCUCUCUAACUGAAAUUAAUAAGAGGGAAAUCAUAUCAUUCACUGGAAAGCUAGUCUGUUAUACAGGACUAGUGAAAUGCUGAAUCUUGGUGGAGAGCCUAUAACUUCCACUUUAUGAAAAUGGUUUAAUCCUUAAGUAUAUUCAAAGUAUUUCUCUUUAUACCCUUGGAUAAGUGUACUGUUUUCUCUUCAUCAGUAAAAGACCAUAAUGGAACAAGUUAAGGAAUAGUCAGUGAAUGUUCUGGAAUACUUGAUUAUAAGAUAGUCACUAUCAGUUUUUUUAAUUAAUUAAUUAAUUAAUUUUUUACUUUGGGUGACAGAUAAUAAGGACCUUUAAUUCACUAAGC